UGCGGGAUGGUGAAAUGGUAUCACGGCAGACUCUGAAUCUGCUUUUCUAGGUUCGAAUCCUAGUCCCGCAGCCA
rnacentral:tRNA from 4 species